rnacentral:lncRNA from 1 species
GAAAAAAUGAAAUGUCAUUUGUUUGGUUUAUAAAAAGAAAAAACAUUCUGAAAAAUGACAGAUAUGAAAAAAAGGAAAAUUUUGCCAUUUUAAUAUCGAAUUUCAACUGCCGAUUUCCACCCAAAAUCGUUAAACAAAUUAAGAAUAUGUAAGCGACCAUACACUCAUUUAUAAGACGUGUGUUAUACGGUGCAACUUUUAAAAAGAAAGAUUUUCACACGUAUUAUAAGCGAAUAAGGAACGAAUUAGAAACACGGUAUUGUUUAGCUUUGAAAUGAUGCUCACGCGCUAAUAGGGUUAUUUCACCUCUUUUUAACCAAGAACCAACUCCAAACAUACGAGUAUAAAGCAGUUAAAAGGCA